GAGGGGCCGGGAGCGCCGCAGCGGGGAGGCCGGGGUCUGGCCGUUGGCCUGGGGGUUGUGAGUCACCGCCACUCCUUUCCGCCCGCGGGCGCUCAGCGGAGGACGGCGUGGGGGUGGGGGUGGCCUGUACCCGGAACCCAGUGCAUGAAGCGCGGGCGCCCAGCCGGAAGGCGAAGCGGAGCCCGGCGCCGAGAGGUUCGGUUCCGUCCAGUCGCGCUGUGGAGGGACAGGGCGUCCCCAGCCGCCUGCCUUUGCCACUAGGAUUCUGAUGUCCCGUUCACCUCAGCGCUGUGGAGACGACACGUGCUCACAACAGCUCGAUCUUGUGUAAGUCACAGCCAUGCUUAUAUGGAGAAAUGGAC
rnacentral:lncRNA from 1 species